rnacentral:rRNA from 1 species
UACGGAAGGGGGCUAGCGUUGCUUCGGAAUCACUGGGGCGUAAAGCGCACGGUAGGCGGAUUCUUAAGUCCAGGGGGUGAAAUCCCGGAAGCUUCGAACUCCGGUAACUGCCUUUGAAUACUUGAGGAUCUUCGAGUUCGGGGAGAGGUGAGUGGGAAACUUGCGAGUGUAGAGGUGAAAAUUCGUAGAUAUUCGCAAAGAACACCCAGUGGCAGGAAGGCGGCUCACAUGGCCCCAGUAGUCCGUG